rnacentral:lncRNA from 1 species
CUACAUCAAAGAAGUUCGUGAAGGACUUCAAGUCGCAGCCUCAAAUCUCUAGGUACGGACCUGAGCACAAAUUCAUGAAGGACAUCAUGCCGCAACCUCAAAUUUCGAGCUACGAUGACAACGGUAUCAAGCUAAGCAAGGUUGAAGAAGGUAGAUUCGUUAGAGACAUCGAGUCACAACCUCAAAUCUCCAACUAUGAUGGCGAUGCUAUGUCAAAUAAAUUUGUUAAGGACAUCGAGCCGCAACCUCAAAUCUCGAGCUAUGGAACCCCGCACAAAUUCACAAAGGACAUCAUGCCACAACCUCAAAUUUCGAGCUACGAUGAGAAGGGUGUCGAGCGGAGCAAGGUCGAAGAAGGUACUGGAAAAUUCGUUAGAGACCUCGAGUCACAGCCUCAAAUCUCCAACUACGACGACAAUAAUACCGCCCCGAAUAAGUUUGCAAAGGAUUUGAGGUCGGAACCUCAAAUCUCCAACUACGACGACAAUAAUACCGCCCCGAAUAAGUUUGCAAAGGAUUUGAGGUCGCAACCUCAAAUCUCUAACUAUGGAGAAAAGAUGGGAAACAAAUUCACGAAGGACAUCAUGCCACAACCUCAGAUUUCAAGCUAUGACGAGAAUGGCGUUGUAGGAAGCAAGAAAGAUGAUCUCGCCCAAGAACUAGUCAAGGUUGUGGAGCAGAUAGCCAUGGUUGUAGUGUAAGAGCUGGAUGAAGAAUUAAUGGUCCGCAGCCUAAAAUUAGCCAAGAUGAUGAUCAUUCUAUUGUACCCUGUUUUUAGUUUCAGUUAAUGCCCUGGAAUAAUGAUAAUUGUCAUGUAGUUUGCAUGUGUCUUAAUUAAUUUUCACAAAUAAUAAUAAUAAUUAUGAUCGCACGGACUUUAGUUUGU